AUGUCAUGAUGCCUGGUCACACCUACUACCGCAGAGACAAGCCCAGAAGUUAAAUUAGGAAGCAAACGCAUUAACAGGGUGUAAAUGCAAUAUAAGCGCAAUUUACAACAGCACUAAGUUAGCAGAAGAAAAAACGUACUUGGGAGUCACGCAAAAGAAGGGAGCCUGCAAAAAGAAAAAAAAAAAAAAGCAAAGUUGAUAAUUCCACUGCCGUCCUUUGCGGGGGUGAUCCUGAGGAUCAAAGGCGAUGCUGUUUGUGAAAGAGCCGGAGACUGCGAGGUUGUUCUGGGUACCGAAGUCGGGGACUGCCAGCCAGCCCGCUGCCUUCAUGAGUAG
rnacentral:lncRNA from 1 species